GUGGGGAAUUUUGGACAAUGGGGGAAACCCUGAUCCAGCGACGCCGCGUGAAGGAUGAAGGCCUUCGGGUUGUAAACUUCUUUUGGAGGGGACGAAUAAAUUGACGGUACCCUCAGAAAAAGCCACGGCUAACUACGUGCCAGCAGCCGCGGUAAUACGUAGGUGGCGAGCGUUACUCGGAAUUACUAGGCGUAAAGCGUAUGUGGGCGGUUGUAUAAGUCUAUGGUGAAAUUUCCUGGCUCAACUGGGAAGGGACAUAGAUACUGUAUGGCUUGAGUGUUGGAGGGGGAGACGGAAUUCCUGGUGUAGCGGUGAAAUGCGUAGAUAUCAGGAGGAACACCGAUGGCGAAAGCAGUCUCCUGGCCAAAUACUGACGCUGAGGUACGAAAGCUAGGGUAGCAAACAGGAUUAGAAACCCUAGUAGUCC
rnacentral:rRNA from 1 species